GUGGGGAAUUUUGGACAAUGGGCGAAAGCCUGAUCCAGCAAUGCCGCGUGUGUGAAGAAGGCCUUCGGGUUGUAAAGCACUUUUGGCAGGGAAGAAACAGUGCGUGCUAAUACCAUGCGCGAAUGACGGUACCUGCAGAAUAAGCACCGGCUAACUACGUGCCAGCAGCCGCGGUAAUACGUAGGGUGCAAGCGUUAAUCGGAAUUACUGGGCGUAAAGCGUGCGCAGGCGGCUUUGUAAGACGGAUGUGAAAGCUCCGGGCUCAACCUGGGAAGUGCAUUCGUGACUGAAAGGCUAGAGUGUGUCAGAGGGAGGUGGAAUUCCGCGUGUAGCAGUGAAAUGCGUAGAGAUGCGGAGGAACACCGAUGGCGAAGGCAGCCUCCUGGGAUAACACUGACGCUCAGGCACGAAAGCGUGGGGAGCAAACAGGAUUAGAUACCCGGGUAGUCC
rnacentral:rRNA from 1 species